GGCGCUGUGGCUUAAUUGGUUAAAGCGAUUUUUAGCACGUUGGUGCUUGAGUUCGAAUCUAGCAGUGCCU